UAAAUGUCAUGAUGGUAUCGUCACACAUGACAGUGUUGUACUGGGAAAUGGAAACUUAAAUAUAUCCAGCCUCACCAAACCGACUCACAGGUGAUAAACACUUUCCUUUGAGCUCAGUUGAUGUCUCACACCUGAUAGAGAAGGCAGACGCUCAUUCCCAAAGCCUGAAGAUGGAAAUAAUUUGUGAGGCAUACUUUGAUGCCACAGGAGGUGCAGGGACUGAGGAUGUGACUCCUGAUAUUUUGGAUAAAAUGGGUUUCAUCUCAUUGAAUGCCAUAGUAGCAGCUAUUUUUGCUGCAAUAAAGUCUGGAGCAGUUUGGAUUCUCUGGGCAAUCUUGAAGGCAAUCUUGAAGUCAAUCUGGGCGUCA